rnacentral:rRNA from 1 species
CUCCUACGGGAGGCAGCAGUGGGGAAUAUUGCGCAAUGGGCGAAAGCCUGACGCAGCGACGCCGCGUGAGGGAUGAAGGUUCUCGGAUCGUAAACCUCUGUCAGGGGGGAAGAAACCCCCUCGUGUGAAUAAUGCGAGGGCUUGACGGUACCCCCAAAGGAAGCACCGGCUAACUCCGUGCCAGCAGCCGCGGUAAUACGGAGGGUGCAAGCGUUAAUCGGAAUCACUGGGCGUAAAGCGCACGUAGGCGGCUUGGUAAGUCAGGGAUGAAAUCCCACAGCCCAACUGUGGAACUGCCUUUGAUACUGCCAGGCUUGAGUACCGGAGAGGGUGGCGGAAUUCCAGGUGUAGGAGUGAAAUCCGUAGAUAUCUGGAGGAACACCGGUGGCGAAGGCGGCCACCUGGACGGUAACUGACGCUGAGGUGCGAAAGCGUGGGUAGCAAACAGGAUUAGAUACCCUGGUAGUCCACGCUGUAAACGAUGGGUGCUGGGUGCUGGGAUGUAUGUCUCGGUGCCGUAGCUAACGCGAUAAG